rnacentral:rRNA from 1 species
AACGAACGCUGGCGGCAUGCCUAACACAUGCAAGUCGAACGAACCCUUCGGGGUUAGUGGCGCACGGGUGCGUAACGCGUGGGAAUCUGCCCUUGGCUUCGGAAUAACUCAGGGAAACUUGUGCUAAUACCGGAUGAUGUCUUCGGACCAAAGAUUUAUCGGCAAGGGAUGAGCCCGCGUAGGAUUAGGUAGUUGGUGGGGUAAAGGCCUACCAAGCCGACGAUCCUUAGCUGGUCUGAGAGGAUGAUCAGCCACACUGGGACUGAGACACGGCCCAGACUCCUACGGGAGGCAGCAGUGGGGAAUAUUGGACAAUGGGCGCAAGCCUGAUCCAGCAAUGCCGCGUGAGUGAUGAAGGCCCUCGGGUCGUAAAGCUCUUUUACCAGGGAUGAUAAUGACAGUACCUGGAGAAUAAGCUCCGGCUAACUCCGUG